rnacentral:rRNA from 1 species
ACAGAGGGUGCAAGCGUUAAUCGGAGUUACUGGGCGUAAAGGGCGCGUAGGCUGGUUUUUAAGUCGAUUGUGAAAUCCCUGGGCUUAACCUAGGAACUGCAGUCGAUACUGAAUGUCUUGAGUAUGGUAGAGGAAAGUAGAAUUCUCGGUGUAGUGGUUAAAUACGUAGAUAUCGGGAGGAACACCGGUGGCGAAGGCGACUUUCUGGACCAAUCCUGACGCUGAGGCGCGAAAGCUUGGGGAGCAAACAG